UGAUCUGUGGUGUAGUUGUUUAACGCACCCUAUCUGGCAAAUUGGGGGGUCGUGAGUUCAAGUCCCACCAGAACCA
rnacentral:tRNA from 1 species